CCUGGCGGCCGUAGCGCGGUGGUCCCACCUGACCCCAUGCCGCACUCAGAAGUGAAACGCCGUAGCGCCGAUGGUAGUGUGGGGUCUCCCCAUGCGAGAGUAGGGAACUGCCAGGC
rnacentral:rRNA from 1 species